GGAGGGAUGGCAGAGUGGUCUAAUGCAACGGACUUGAAAUCCGUCGAUGCCUUCACGGUAUCCAAGAGUUCGAAUCUCUUUCCCUCCGCCA
rnacentral:tRNA from 1 species